AGGUCUAACCCUCAGUGUGAAUGUGUUUGGAUAUAGAGCAUUUAAGAGGAAAGUCCAUUUUGAAGACACGACAGGAAGGUGGCCAUGUGCGAGACAGGAAGGGAUCUCUCACCAGAAACCUAAUCAACCAUCACAUUGAUCUUGAACUUCCAGCCUCCAGAACUGCGAGAAGUAAAUUUCUGUUCUUUAA